AAAGGUGCGGACAUUCUCUCGAUAGCGAAAUUUUCAUACCAGUUUACACGCAUAUUUACACCCGGGAUUAAUUAAUGCCGCGUGAUUGUUGCCUGAGUCACUUUUUUAAUUAAACGCAUAAUCGGACCGGAGUAUAUGUAUGCGCGGUGCCGCGACUCCUGAGAUAAUCUACGGGUUGAUGGAAUCGCGGCUAACAUCUCGCGAUUGCACGGUAGAGAAAUUGCUACGUGGGUUUUUCUGCCCCGCGAAUAUCCCGGGAAUUUUAUUACAUUUCUCGAAUAAGGUCCGAAGCUUAUAUUAUCACAGUUUGCGGAAUGCCAUCGAAUUACGACGAACUUGUUUUUUUUCUUCGAGAGAUCGAGUUUCGUACGUACGGUAAUUGGUAACAAGCGAAUCGCGUUGGGGAUGCGAUCGUAAAACAUGAUCUCCGAGGUGUCUGUUUCCCCUUCGCGUACCCCCGUAACUUAGGUAUAUCUGUCCGCCAUUCACGAGUGUGAAAAUUGACUUUCUUCUCCGUUUCGUUGUACACACGGGGUUUAAUUCUCAUAACGUGGUGAAAAAGAGGAGUAAGCUCAAGGUGAACCGGUGAGGUGUGAACGCGAGUCCUUAAUAAUUCCAUCAGCGGCAUAUCCAGCGGUCCACGUACCGACAAAUUUCCGAUAAAUUACAGGAGUAGCACUUGUUCGAGGCGCGGCCUUCCACGAGCGAGCGUUUCGCAGGUGCCCCGUACAUCAUAGGAAUAUAAAUUGGAUCCGCUUCGAUUUUUGAUCCGUCUAAUUGAUAUGAUUAAUGUCGAGCGCUCCAGUUCGAAACCGCGAGCGAUCCUCGAAACCGGUUAGCGCCCGCAUCGCGCAUCUGCAUAUAUGGGUUUUCAAUUAUGCCAAUUUAAAAGCUCCCUGUUCUUCAUCCGUGGAAUACAGGUAUACGUACAAUACGCAUUCGUUCUGUACAAAUAUUUUCUCGCAUUCGGCGUGGGUUCAGAGACCGAAGCCGCUACUUCGACAAAAAAGGAAAAAAAAAAAAAUAAUACUUUAUGGAACUCGCGCGACAUAAACGGUUAUGUGACGUUCGUUCGUAACCGUCGUUAAUAUUCAAAUAAGUUUUGAACGGGUCGGAAAGGUGACACGACGGUCUCUCUAUAGUUUUUACUCGUCUAGCUAUUUCAAUAAUCGUCUCGCUAUUUUUUUUUUUUCUCUCAUUUUGCGACAAGAUCGCUUAUCUCUCACCGGAUUAUCACUCGAGAUUUAUUAACUCCGGAGUAGAGUCAUCGGUCGUACGUUUAGGCAGAAACUUGAACCACCGGGUCGUACGAGUUGCGAAGACCUGGGUGUAUUCCAGACACGUUUGGUCGUCGUUGCGAAGUCCAGGGUUCGAGUUCUGAUGCUGUGGACUGGACCUGGCUGUUCAGGGCUUACAUAGGACAACCCCCACCAUGGAGAAUCGGACGCCCGCAGGACUCAGCGUGGACGCAGGAAGUGCACGGCGCACUGGCCAAAAGUAUAUUCGCGAGGUAUAAUGUGUACACACAUGCGGGAGAGAAGGAGAUGCGUUCGUUUGUUACGGCGAGGAAUGCACACGUCCAGAAAUGCAAGCUGCCCUCCGGAGAGCUCCUUGUGUCGGGCCGACCGCGUCACGGGUGUCGUUGGUACCGAAACGGCGUCACCGAGCUCUUGUACUUUAUUAUCCGGUUCUUCGGUCCCUCCGACGACGAGUUUCCAGGCGAUAAGGAAGACCGAGAUAUUCGAGAAUUGCGGGUAAUCGGGAUAUCUUAUUACACAGACGACUGUUACGUUGCGUAUACCUGCUUAUACUUAAAUAUGACGUGGUUCAACGAUUCGGGGAAAGAAAAAAACGACCCGAAAGAACGCUCGCACGUUUAUCCGCGCCCACAAAGUAUCUUUUCAUACCCCUCGAACGGCAAGUGUCGUUAUCAUGGCUUUACCUCUAAGUCGGGUACGUUCGUUCAACCCAUUCGAGUAAACACGCGUGAUGCACUCGGCGGGCGAUCGUCACGGACGAGGUUGCGUCGUCGCGGUACUUCGCGGGUCGAUCGCUUCCCGGGUUAAUUGAUUUGUAAACGCUGGUACGAAUCGUCGUGGGACUUCGGGGCUUUUUUCCACCUCGUGUCUCCGCGGAGACUCGGCACCCCGCAAUUGCACGACGUGAUCCUAUACCUGAUAAGACGCGUCUAUUACGGUUGUGAGAGAAAUAUGAGUACAACCGGUUUCGCGCGUCCCAUGAUAUACCGGUCGUCUCUCGUGAAUCAUGAUCCCCCGUUGACGUUGAUCGACACUUUUUUUGUCAGCCGCAUCGAGUCGAAAUGAGAAAAGAAAUCCGUACAACAUACGAGUGUGACAAAUUGGUCGCGAAGAAUUUGAACGAUUAGAUAAUGCGGUUCGCCGAUAACCGCGAAGGUGAUUAACGUUCGACCGGAAUGGAAUCUCGAAAACUAAAGCGAACAUUGACGAUAUGGCUACUCGUUUUAUCGCGUCGGGGACGUGGGUUGAUUAAUUCUUUUGGCGGAUCCGACACGCGCUUUCAUCGCCACCGCAGAUGUUUCGUCUCAUAUCGUAUAAGGAGGGAGUCGUGGUUAAUUCCUUAAUCCUUGAUAAUCCCUAAAUUUAUGGACGUAUGUAUGUACCCAUACAGUCGCUCCCGUCGCGCCCGGGAUUCACGGACCACCCGAAAAAGGGUGUAGGUUAAAAAAAAAAAAAAAAAAAAAACGGGAGGCGAUCAAUAAUAUAUUUUUCGAUAAAUGAUGUAACGCGGAGGAAGUCGAAUGAAUAACAAAAUCGAAGCGAAAUUCGGAAACAAAGCGUACUGCCGAUUCUGCGCCGCGUUAAGGUCUCUUCGGAAAGAAGUGUUUCGAGUAAUUUCGAAGACACAAUUUUCUGUAGCACAUUAGAUGCGUUUCACCACAGCUGCAGCCUGCGGGCGAACGUUAAAAGAGUUAGCUGUGCAAAAAAGGAGAGUAAAAAAAGAAAAAAAAAAGGAAAGAUUACAAGGUCGGACCUGCCGCGUGUUCUUUACAAUGGCAAGUAUCGUUCGGCCGUAGCUUGUAAAGUCAGGUUUAUUUCGACGGGGGACCGUUCUUCUCGGUCAUUCGAUUCAAGUUCGAGGCGCCGAUUCAGACGUAGCGAAUAUCUAAUACGCGGGAUUCUCCCUCCGAUUUUUCUAUGUAAGGAAAUAACGAGAAUAGAAGUUGUUCGAACGCUCUUAGCGAGUUCUUUAUCUUAUUCAUUUUAUUCUGACAAAGUGGCGAGCCAUAUCCGGGCGUAAAAAAAUCAUGAUUUUCUUACGGCGUUGUAUAUUUGCAUUGAAAUUCGUGAGAUGAAUUCAUUGACGCUAUGCCACCGACGCGGGGUCGUGGACGCUACGUGGCUCGGACGCGUCUGAAAAUCAGAAUCCUUGGGGACAUAAGUUUGGCGGCUUCCAUGAGCUACCGGUUACGCUACACGUAUACAAUACGUUCGUUCCUACUGUGCCGUCGAGUAUAAGACUCACACGCAAGCCACCAGACGUACGUAUUGGUCACAACUUGCGGUCGGAAGAAAUAUGAGGGCGAAUCUUACGCUGCGGUGUACCUACUUGAAUAAUGAAUGGCACGUCGCCGUGAGGAUGAUUUUUAUGAAAUUCCUCAUUUUUCGGAACUCGAAUGUUAGUCAAAAAUAUCGUGAGAAUCUCUAGGUUCAUUCGCGGAAAAUUUAAUCGUCGAGUAAUUCGGAAUAUUUCGAGUCUGCUGCAGCGAUCGAAGAGUUUCGGGGAAAAAAUAUGAAAAAGGUGGUAUACGCAUACCGCAUAUAUCCAGACUGCAUAAUUAAUACUAAUUGCUACUUUCAUCGUUUUGGUUGUCGUUUGACUUUUUCUCUUUGGCAGCGAUGAAAAUUAUUGCGGAGACGCUGUUAAUGUGCUGAGAUAAAAAAUUCCGCACGAAGUAUCACCCCGGGGUUUUGAAUUUCCCCGAUUAUUUAUCGUCGCACGUACAGUUAUUGCUGAAAACAAAGCUCGGCGAUAGUUUAAAUUUUCGGAACCCCACGGAUGACGGAUAGACCGCACGGGUUAAGAUUUUACAUCUCCGGAUGGUCUGGCGCACUCAGCCACGAACGAGACGGAGAGAGAGAGACGGACGUCUCUCGAGUCAGCGCUUAAGGACGAGAAGGAAAGAGAAAUAUUUUGUGCAAUUUUAGAACGUCAUUUUUCACCGGCGCGAUUCUUCUGGCCCCCGACGCCCUCGGGGCUCCGCGUCAUUCUCUACCUUCGUAUAAAUAUUCAAAGUCUUCUAAGAAACAGUUUGGCGAAUCCAGCCAACCGCUGACCGUCGAAGAGGUCCGAUCUUCCAGCCCGGAAUACCUCGCUGAAUCUAGGAGCGGAUCUGGCCCACCGAGGAAUGCAGUUCGAAGAGUAAAAGGAGUCAGCGUUAGGGCGGACGCAGGGCUCGGCCGGCCCUCCUGUUGGUUUUGCGGCACGCAAGGGCUGCCCCGCGUCCUUGAGGACAGUUCAUUUUUUACAAGGAUGAUGUACGGGGAGGUGUUUAACGGGUAUUACCGCAAUGAUUAUUGAAUAAAUUUGACAUCGCGGUACACGGCCCACCACUUAGUGUAAUCGUACGGCGCAUAACCCGCAACCAAUUUGGUUCAUCAAGAUUUAUGGUCCUCCGUACGUACGGACGCGGCGCGUUUCUGUUUCUGCGGUAGCGUUUCUUUGCAGAAUUGAAAGUUCUGCCUUGGGCAUUUUGGCGGAAAAAUUUCUUCUUCUUUUUCGUCGAUUCUCGGGAGCUUCGCGCUUUUUACGUAACGCGCGUUUCAAUUCGCACAGGUACGCGGGUAUGAUGCAAUUUGAAAUAUAGUGUAUAUUUGACGCGCGAUACACCGCCAUUAUUCAACAUCCUCGAUACGAUAAAGUACUCCCGCGACGCUCGGGAGGAGAGACUCCGCGCGUACGUUUUUUGCCUCGUCGUCAUACGCUGCGAAACUGUUAAUUUUCGUCUCUGCAUUCCGCUCGAGUCAAUCUUAUGUUCCUUCUCGAAUGUUACUUCGCUAGUUAUACCGCGUGCAGGCACCACGCUGGUUUUCGCAACGCCUUUGCCUCCGAUUCGCUCUUAUUUAUUGCCAAUAAGUCAGCGAUUGAAAACUUCGUGACUCUAGCCGGGAUAAUCGUGAAUUAACUGCUGCUUCUGAUUUCAACGACGCUGCAGGUUUAACAGGUUUUCAGAAACAUAGCUUUGAAAUAUGGGUAUCACGGUAUUUGAGAAUUUUGAAAUACUACAAUUUUCAAAUUCCACAAUGCCUCUUCGUUGAUAUCCUUAGAUUUUCUCACGUCCAUUCGAAACGCAAUAUAUCGCUCGAUUCGCUUCUGUCAACCUCCGAUAACAAUUUCCUCGCGCACUCGUUGCGACGUUGAUCAAAACGCGCGUAAAAAUUCUCGAUAGCGAAUGGAACCGGUCGGAGUUCCGACAAUAUCGGCUCGCUACGUCACACAUCGAAUAUUUGAUAACCCACGCGAUACGUCAUAACACUUUAUUUAUCACUUUAUUACCAGCGCUUGUAGCGCAGAAAUUGAAAUUGGAAAGCAUCGAAAAUGAAUGUACUUGUUCGGAUAACUAAUAUGAUACCUCGUUGACAUACACGUACGUACACGAUAUACGUUAUAUAAAUGGUCACAGAUAAUCAGAUAAUUAAUUUCACGUACGCCUUAAAAUUACGAAUAAUAAAAAAAAAUAAAAUAAAAUAAAAUAAUAUGAAAACGUAUUGCGAAAGCGAGCGCUUCGUUUUUUCCGUGCCAACUGGAUAAUUCAAGUACAUAUACAUACUUUUAAGGACCUUAUUUUCCACCUGCGUUUGGUCGGCGAGAAGUUAACGCCAGAAGCGAUCGGUAAUUCCUUAGGGAUAAAAUUCGCCAUUGUAUGCAUCUGCCUAUAGUCCGGCAAUGUUUGCAGAAUAAUGGCACGUGCUGUGUCUUAUAUUUCUAGCUACACAGAUUUAAAAGCCGUACGUACGCCCAUAAUAGCUGGAGCAUGGAACAAAGGAUACAAGGAUUCAUUGCAUUAUGCAUAACGCAGCUAUCAUUUCCAUGGAGAAAUUAUUAGGAAGUUGAGCGCAUUUUUACUAUCCUUGAGAACCCGUAUCUAGAUCUCACCGCAGAAACCGACUGCAUUUCCAGCUUAUAAAAUAAGCGCAGCUUGCGAACGUUGGUCCCGUCGGACUCGUCCGCAUACCUCGAGGGUUUAAGAGGUUGACUCGUCAUCCGCGGCAAACCCGGUAGUGUCAGCUUCUUCUCGGGUCCAUCCACAAAGACUCCAACAGCUGUAUGACAUUUUGGCAAAGUUACGUGACGACGAAAAUUCUCCGCAUACGUGUCGCGCAUCAUGAGCGGAUUAUAACGGUGCCGGAUCACCGAUACGAUCUCGGGGAUCAAACGACGUCAUCCCGCUGCACUUGAACUACUAAAAUGAACGCCUGAGGAGCGUCUCGCUCACGAGUAUCGGAACAGCGAGUGGUAAAUUUGUCCGAACGCGAUAUGUACCGCUCAGUCAUUCGGGGUGGGUGGAGCGGUUAUCUCCGAUUCCCACGCAGUUCAACAAACGCCGGCCUGUUGAAGCUCCUCUACACCACCUCUGAACCACCUCCUCCUCCUCCUCCUCCUCCUCCUCUAGGCACCUCCGAAGCCUUCUGAAAGGAUAUCGCGUCAUUCCGGUCGAUCCGCAGCUUCGUACGUCGGACGGACGGAGCCCCUUGAAUUGACGCGUUCAAAUUCGAAGUAGAGAUAAUCGAUGUACCGACCAUAUAAGUAUGGAUUCAGAGCAAAUUAUUGCGACCGGGGAAAACCCGUCGAGACUUCAGCGUGUAACAAAGCCGAACAGGACCGAGGAAGGAAGCCCGAGGCGGACGGUGCCUCGGGAGCCCAAGCGGCGAAGAAGUCGUAACUCACUGAAGAAGGAGACGAUACGUCUGACAAUGAAUAUAAUUCAUCGAGAAGAAGAAUCAGCCUGAAAAGUGAUUUCGUAAUUCUCGUACGUCGUUAUUAUCAUGUAGGGAUCAAGCCUCAUUAUGCAGUUCCGAAGUGUCUGCAUAAGAAUGUGCGAAGUGAACCGCUAAAUAAACCGAACCUGGUGAAGUAACGUAUUGUUUGCAGCGUAUUAUUUUUUAUUUCAAGCCCCUCACUUCGCAGCAGUUGGCAGUUUCCACUUGAAACAUGAUGCGCGCCAUCGUGAAGGACUCUUAUGCAUAUAAUGCAUAUUCUGUAUCAACGCCGCAAUUUGAAACAAUGAAAAUAUUGAUGAUAUUUAUU